GAAAUGCACGCAGCGCGAAUUCGAAUCCACAGCGAGAUUUGAGCGCGGGAAGCUGUUAUGUGCCAGUAUGCUGGGGUAGGCUUGACAACUCAAAAUUUUCUAUUUGUACUUACGAAGCAGCAGUAUUUGACAGAAAAGAAUAAUACUUUGAUGCUCUUCUCACGCCUACAAGCGAGGGCGGCGUGAUUAACAACACAGCGUAAUGCGCAACGGUGAACGCCAACGAACUGCGUGCCGCCACCAACCUGGACGAAGCAUUUUGGACUGAAGCUGUCUUGAUAUCUACAAUACAUUGGACACUACAUGCAGGAUUAUGAAUGGAUACCUGAACACUGCUUGAAGGAGCAAGCUCUACAGCAUCACUUAUGCUCCUUUCCAUGGGUUGGCAAGAGGAACCGUGGCACGCAACUCUACAGGCACCUGUGCUCUUCACUACCUUCGGAGGAGAGAUGCAUUGAAUGCUCCCUAUCAUGCACUGCCAUCUCAACAGUACCAUGGCUUUUUGUGUGGAUUCCUUCCCUUUUGAAGGCCACCACUGUUUGCACAGCAUCACAGCCUGCCUGCCUUGAUCUUGCGGAAGAAGAAAAUACAAAAUGCCUAUUUUUUGAAAUGCAUGCAUGGCUUCAUGCAACACCACCUGUCGUUGGGGUGUUAAGGCUUUUUGCAGAGAAAAUGUAAUGACGCCUUAUGUGUGCCCUGGUGGCAAAGUGUUUGCCUCUUUGCCUGUGUAAAAAUUUCACACUUAUGGAUACUGUUAAAGGUUCCUGUAUCAUAUUUUCUUUCACAUCCUAAGAAAUUUUUGUUUCAUUAUAAAACUAAAAAUUAUAGUUGAAUUGCUGCUUUGUGUGAUAUGCAAUAUUCAGCUGAAGGUGAUCAGCAGAGGUCGAACAAGUGUUAUGUCAGGUGGAGAAAUUUUUUUGAGAAGUGGACUUCUUCGUUAGGGUAACAACCGU